UACAGAGGUCUCAAGCGUUGUUCGGAUUCAUUGGGCGUAAAGGGCGCGUAGGCGGCGCGACAAGUCAGGCGUGAAAGCCCCGGGCUCAACCCGGGAAUUGCGCUUGAUACUGUCGUGCUUGAGGCCGGGAGAGGAUGGCGGAAUUCCCAGUGUAGAGGUGAAAUUCGUAGAUAUUGGGAAGAACACCGGUGGCGAAGGCGGCCAUCUGGACCGGUUCUGACGCUGAGGCGCGAAAGCGUGGGGAGCAAACAGG
rnacentral:rRNA from 1 species